CACCCAGACUCCUACGGGAGGCAGCAGUGGGGAAUAUUGCACAAUGGGGGAAACCCUGAUGCAGCGACGCCGCGUGAGUGAAGAAGUAAUUCGUUAUGUAAAGCUCUAUCAGCAGGGAAGAAAAUGACGGUACCUGAGUAAGAAGCCCCGGCUAACUACGUGCCAGCAGCCGCGGUAAUACGUAGGGGGCAAGCGUUAUCCGGAUUUACUGGGUGUAAAGGGGGCGCAGACGGCGAUGCAAGCCAGGAGUGAAAGCCCGGGGCCCAACCCCGGGACUGCUCUGGAAACUGUACGGCUGGAGUGCAGGAGAGGUAAGUGGAAUUCCUAGUGUAGCGGUGAAAUGCGUAGAUAUUAGGAGGAACACCAGUGGCGAAGGCGGCUUACUGGACUGUAACUGACGUUGAGGCUCGAAAGCGUGGGGAGCAAACAGGAUUAGAUACCCCUGUAC
rnacentral:rRNA from 1 species